rnacentral:rRNA from 1 species
CUACGGGUCGCUCCAGUGGGGAAUAUUGCACAAUGGGGGAAACCCUGAUGCAGCGACGCCGCGUGAGCGAAGAAGGCUUUAGGGUCGUAAAGCUCUGUCCUAAGGGAAGAUAGUGACGGUACCUUAGGAGGAAGCCCCGGCUAACUACGUGCCAGCAGCCGCGGUAAUACGUAGGGGGCGAGCGUUAUCCGGAAUUAUUGUGCGUAAAGGGUUCGCAGGUGGUCUGUUAAGUCAGAUGUGAAAGGCAGUGGCUCAACCAUUGCAAGCAUUUGAAACUGGCAGACUUGAGUACAGGAGAGGAAAGCGGAAUUCCUAGUGUAGCGGUGAAAUGCGUAGAUAUUAGGAGGAACACCAGUGGCGAAGGCGGCUUUCUGGACUGUAACUGACACUGAGGAACGAAAGCGUGGGGAGCAAACAGGAUUAGAUACCCUGGUAGUC